rnacentral:misc_RNA from 1 species
CCCCUGACGAUUCAAUCCGCCCCGGAGAAGCUCCCUAGUCCUCUUUUUAAAUUCGUGUCUCUUAUUAUUAGCCACCUUCCAUUGCCUCUCCCUAUAAGGAGCAAGCUUUUUAAUGGGUACAUAUUGAUUCAACUCCUUGUCAUCCAACAUCAAUAUUUCUUUAGUCUUUAAUCCAUACCUAUUAGGAUCCACUUUAGAAUACUUAAACCUUGUCUUCAAGUCUCCAAUUGUACCCUCAUAGUCCAAUUUAUAAUACUCCUCUAACAUUUCCUCCCUAGCUUUCUUCACCAGUGACAUCUUACGCUUCCUCUUCCGUUUACUUUCCUCAUUGUGCUCUACUUCAUUGCCUCCUCCUUCCUCUUCUCCAUCGCCUCUUUCUUCCUCUUCUUCAUUGUCAUCAUCAUCAUUUCCGUUCUCAGCCUUUAGUUUCAAAAACCUUUCUCUUGCAGCUAAAAACCCAUCGGCAUCUUCAACUGCAUCCCACCCCUUAGGAAGUCCAAGUAACUCAUCCUCCUUAUCAAAAUCUGGUUUCUCGAUAGAAGCCCUGUCAUCAUCAUUAUCACUACCAAAUCCGGGAUCCACAUCAUCUGCAUUAUAAUACUCCUCACCAAAAGCCUUCUUCAUCAUUUUAUCGUACUCUGCUGGAUCAAAAUCCUCUUCCAAAUUAUCCAAAUCCAAUGCAAAAUCAUUAUCGUUCUUAACCCCAGCAGUCUCCAUUACCUUCAUCAUCCUCUCUUUCAUUUCCUUCUUUUUCAAAUUCUUCAAAUGUUUCAACUCUUCCUUCCUCUCCAUCUCAGCAAUCUUCAUCCUCUCCUCCUUAUUCUUCCUCUGCUCUUUUCUCGUAUUCUCCUUCUUCCUCACCGACCCUUCCACUUUUCUUGAGUGUCCCAUCACCUUAUCCCCUGCAUUCUCUUCAUAUCUAAAAUUAUAACUCUCCUCAUACUUUUCCUGCCUUUCAAUCUCCUCCUCAUCUUUCAACAAGUCAUGCACUUCAGUAUCCUCCAAAACACUACUCCUGUCCUUAUUUUCCCUAUCAAUCCACAUUUGUUUCUCAAAAAACUCUUUCAAAAACUUGUUAUUCUCAUCCAACUCCCCCUCUGGACCAAAAUACUCGCCCAACUCCUUCUCCAACUCUCCAUAAUCAUCAUCAGCAUCCUCAUCAUUUUCAUUUUUCGUCUCUUUUGGUUUCAACAAAUCCCCUCCACCAUCCUCCUCUGCAUUUUUCACAGCAUCCAAAAAUUCUUUCUUCAAUUCCUCUUGUUCCUCAUUGUAAGUCUUCUUCCUAGUGAAUUCCACAUCUUUCUCUUCAAAUUCAGGCCCUUCCUCCAUCAGUUGCUGGGCCACCACAUCCUUCAAGUACAUAGCUUUCUUCUUCCGCUCCCUAUUUUCAUUUUCGUCAUCACUAUCGUUCUCAGACUCAAAAAGAAUGGCAUUCUGAUACACAGAAUCGUCUCUUUUCCUUACCUUGUUUAAAUUCUCGAAUAGCUUCUUGAGAUCUUCUUUUUUGCUCAGCUUAGAGAUAUCGGCAUCGUCUUCUUCGUCUGAUGAUUCCGAUUCCAAUUCUGAACCCGACUCUUCGAUUUGGCCUCUCUUCUUGAGCUCCUGGUAUCUCUGGAGGGCCUCGCGCUGCUUGUUGUGCUCAUAUCGACGGGCGAAUUCCUUGUCGAUUUCUAUCUUCGAAAUGUUGACGUUCUGGGCGUCUUCGUCGUCGAACAGUUUCAUCCCCAUCGCUAAAAAUUAGGGUUUUGCACAAUCCCUUUAGCUGGAUUGAAU